CCUACGGGAGGCAGCAGUGAGGAAUAUUGGUCAAUGGGCUUACGCCUGACCCAGCCAAGUCGCGUGAGGGAAGACUGCCCUAUGGGUUGUAAGCCUCUUUUGUCAGGGAGCAAUUGGCGCUACGUGUAGCGUUAUCGAGAGUACCUUAAGAAAAAGCAUCGGCUAACUACGUGCCAGCAGCCGCGGUAAUACGGAGGAUGCGAGCGUUAUCCGGAUUUGUUGGGUUUGAGGGGUGCGUAGGCGGAAUGCCAAGUCAGCGGUAAAAUCGCGGGGCUCAACCUCGCUCCGCCGUUGAAACUGGCGAUCUUGAGUGGGCGAGAAGUAUGCGGAAUGCGUGGUGUAGCGGUGAAAUGCAUAGAUAUCACGCGGAACUCCGAUUGCGAAGGCAGCAUACUGG
rnacentral:rRNA from 1 species